rnacentral:lncRNA from 1 species
UGUCGUAGGAGUUCGUCCGGAAUCUGUCCGCUACAGAAGUUCGGUCGGAGUCCGAUCUCCAUGGAAGCCCGGAUGGGGAUCAUUUGUCGAGGAAUCUCAGCCGAAGCCUGCCUGCAAUAGAAAUCCGGAAGGAAUUCGUUCAUAAUGGAAGCUCGGGUGAAGGCUUACAGUGGGAAUCCGGUGCAGACCGCUUGUAGUGGAAAUUUAAAGUAGAUCGUUUGUAGCAGAAGCUCGGAGUGAAUCGCUUGCAGUAGAAGCUCGGAGUCCGGCCCUUGUAGGAGUUCGGAUGAAGUCUACCUACAAUCGGAGUUCGGGGAAGAAGUCCGACUCCCGUAGGAGCCCGGACAGAGUCUACCUGCAGUUGGCGUUCGGGGAAGAGGUCCGACUUCCGUG